rnacentral:rRNA from 1 species
UAGCAUAUCAAUAAGCGGAGGAAAAGAAACCAACAGGGAUUGCCUCAGUAACGGCGAGUGAAGCGGCAACAGCUCAAAUUUGAAAUCUGGCCUCUUUGGGGUCCGAGUUGUAAUUUGUAGAGGAUGUUUCGGGUACCGCCUCGGUUUAAAUUUCUUGGAACAGAAUGUCAAAGAGGGUGAGAAUCCCGUCUUGGACCGGCGGUAGGGCCCAUGUGAAACUCCUUCGACGAGUCGAGUUGUUUGGGAAUGCAGCUCAAAAUGGGUGGUAAAUUUCAUCUAAAGCUAAAUAUUGGCCAGAGACCGAUAGCGCACAAGUAGAGUGAUCGAAAGAUGAAAAGCACUUUGAAAAGAGAGUUAAACAGUAUGUGAAAUUGUUGAAAGGGAAGCGCUUACAACCAGACUUGAGCGCGGCGGUUCCCCCUUCCUUUUGGUUGGGUUACUCCGUCGUGUCCAGGCCAACAUCGGUUUCGGGGGUCGGUUAAAGACCUUGGGAAUGUAUCUACCCUUCGGGCGUAGACUUAUAGCCCAGGGUGUCAUGCGGCCUCCCGGGACCGAGGAACGCGCUUCGGCUCGGAUGUUGGCGUAAUGGUUGUCAGCGACCCGUCUUGAAACACGGACCAAGGAGUCUAACAUCUAUGCGAGUGUUUGGGUGUCAAACCCGGAACGCGAAAUGAAAGUGAACGGAGGUAGGAAGCCUUGAGGCUGCACUAUCGACCGAUCCUGAUGUCUUCGGAUGGAUUUGAGUAAGAGCAUAGCUGUUGGGACCCGAAAGAUGGUGAACUAUGCCUGAAUAGGGUGAAGCCAGAGGAAACUCUGGUGGAGGCUCGCAGCGGUUCUGACGUGCAAAUCGAUCGUCAAAUUUGGGUAUAGGGGCGAAAGACUAAUCGAACCAUCUGGUAGCUGGUUCCUGCCGAU